UACUGUGAUGCCCCUAGUAAUGGCGAAUGAAACGGGCACAGCCCAGCACCGAACCGCCGGCCCUUUAAGUCGCGUGGCAUGUGGUGUUUGGGAGAGUCUUCUCGCGAUCGGGUGGCCAGUCCAAGUCCACCUUGACUGGGGCCACGGCCCGUAGAGGGUGAUAGGCCCGUAAGGCGGCCCGCCCGGUUGCGCUGACUUUUCCCCAGAGUCGAGUUGCUUGGAAGUGCAGCUCAAAGUGCGUGGUAAACUCCACGUAAGGCUAAAUAUAACCCCGAGACCGAUAGCGAACAAGUACCGUGAGGGAAAGUUGAAAAGAACUUUGAAGAGAGAGUUCAAAAGUACGUGAAACUGUGGAGUGGUAAACGGAGACGACCUCGAAGUCGGCGCCGGAGGUUCAGGCUUUCGGGCGUGCAGCCUGUCGGGCUUGUGAUCAGCGAUGACACGGCUCGGCGGUCGGCGCGUCCGGUGGCAGCAUUUCUCCGGCGCUUCACACGACGAACCGUUGGUGGUGCACUAAGCGCUGGGCCGAAGUUUGGGCGCGCCUUCGGGCACUCUCGAGCGGCUCCGGACGCUAGCUGCGCCGCCGACGGGUAGCUAAGCGGGCUCGUAUAGCGAGUGCAGCAUUGCCUUGCACGGCUCGCAUCUCUGUCGUGAGUAGGUCGGCGGCGUCUCCGACCCGUCUUGAAACACGGACCAAGGAGUCUAACAUGUGCGCGAGUCAUUGGGUUGUCGAAACCUAGCGGCGCAGUGAAAGCAAAGGUCACUUUCGUGGCUGAGGGGCGAUCCCUUUCGAGGGCGCAGCCCCGGCGCUUCGCGUCGACCUCGUAUCGUGCGGAGCAGCAAGAGCGUACACGUUGGGA
rnacentral:rRNA from 1 species